UACGUAGGGAGCAAGCGUUGUCCGGAAUCAUUGGGCGUAAAGCGCGCGUAGGUGGCCCCGUAAGUCCGCUGUGAAAGUCAAAGGCUCAACCUUUGAAAGCCGGUGGAUACUGUGGGGCUAGAGUACGGAAGAGGCGAGUGGAAUUCCUGGUGUAGCGGUGGAAUGCGCAGAUAUCAGGAGGAACACCGGUGGCGAAGGCGGCCUGCUGGGAUCUUCUGACGCUGAGGCGCGACAGCGUGGGGAGCAAACAGG
rnacentral:rRNA from 1 species